GUUGGCGGGGUAAAGGCCCACCAAGACGAUGAUGCAUAGCCGGCCUGAGAGGGCGGACGGCCACAUUGGGACUGAGACACGGCCCAGACUCCUGCGGGAGGCAGCAGUAGGGAAUUUUCGUCAAUGGGCGCAAGCCUGAACGAGCGAUGCCGCGUGAGUGAAGAAGGCCUUCGGGUCGUAAAGCUCUGUUGCGGGGGAAAAAAGGCAGCAUCAGGAAAUGGGUGCUGACUGAUGGUGCCCCGCCAGAAAGUCACGGCUAACUACGUGCCAGCAGCCGCGGUAAUACGUAGGUGGCGAGCGUUAUCCGGAAUGAUUGGGCGUAAAGGGUGCGCAGGCGGUCCUGCAAGUCUGGAGUGAAACGCAUGAGCUCAACUCAUGCAUGGCUUUGGAAACUGGAGGACUGGAGAGCAGGAGAGGGCGGUGGAACUCCAUGUGUAGCGGUAAAAUGCGUAGAUAUAUGGAAGAACACCAGUGGCGAAGGCGGCCGCCUGGCCUGUUGCUGACGCUGAGGCACGAAAGCGUGGGGAGCAAAUAGGAUUAGAUACCCUAGUAGUCCACGCCGUAAACGAUGAGGACCAAGUGUUGGGGGUGAAACCUCAGUGCUGAAGUUAACGCAGUGAGUCCUCCGCCUGGGGAGUAUGCACGCAAGUGUGAAACUCAAAGGAAUUGACGGGGGCCCGCACAAGCGGUGGAGUAUGUGGUUUAAUUCGAAGCAACGCGAAGAACCUUACCAGGCCUUGACAUGGGAUGCGAAGAUGCAGAGAUGCAUCGGAGGUCAACAUCCACACAGGUGGUGCAUGGUUGUCGUCAGCUCGUGUCGUGAGAUGUUGGGUCAAGUCCCGCAACGAGCGCAACCCUUGUGGCAUGUUGCUAACAGGAAAAGCUGAGGACUCAUGCCAGACUGCCGGUGACAAACCGGAGGAAGGCGGGGAUGACGUCAAAUCAUCAUGCCCCUUAUGGCCUGGGCUACACACGUACUACAAUGGCGGCUACAAAGAGCAGCGAGACAGGGAUGUCGAGCGAAUCUCAUAAAAGCCGUCCCAGUUCGGAUUGGAGGCUGCAACCCGCCUCCAUGAAGUUGGAAUCGCUAGUAAUCGCGGAUCAGCAUGCCGCGGUGAAUACGUUCCCGGGCCUUGUACACACCGCCCGUCAAACCAUGGGAGUCGGUAAUGCCCGAAGCCGGUGGCAUGACCUCAU
rnacentral:rRNA from 1 species